AACGAACGCUGGCGGCAGGCCUAACACAUGCAAGUCGAGCGAGGACUUCGGUCCUAGCGGCGGACGGGUGAGUAACGCGUGGGAACGUGCCCUUUGCUUCGGAAUAGCCCUGGGAAACUGGGAGUAAUACCGGAUGAGCCCUUUGGGGGAAAGAUUUAUCGGCGAAGGAUCGGCCCGCGUUGGAUUAGGUAGUUGGUGGGGUAAUGGCCUACCAAGCCGACGAUCCAUAGCUGGUUUGAGAGGAUGAUCAGCCACACUGGGACUGAGACACGGCCCAGACCUCAUGGGGGGGGAGGAAGGGGGAAUUUUAAAAAAUGGGGGAAACCCUAAUUCAGCCAUGGCGGGUGGGGGGUGGAGGCCUUAGGGUUUAAAAGCUUUUUUCGCUGGGAAAGUAAUGGCGGUACCAAGAAGAAAAACCCCGGCUAACCCCGU
rnacentral:rRNA from 1 species